UACGGGGGGGGCAAGCGUUGUUUCGGAAUUACUGGGCGUAAAGGGCUCGUAGGUGGCCAACUAAGUCAGACGUGAAAUCCCUCGGCUUAACCGGGGAACUGCGUCUGAUACUGGAUGGCUUGAGUUUGGGAGAGGGACGCGGAAUUCCAGGUGUAGCGGUGGAAAUGCGUAGAGAUCCGGAGGAAGACCGGUGGCGAAGGCGCCGCUGGGCAGUUCUGACACUGAGCGCGACAGCGUGGGGAGCAAACAGG
rnacentral:rRNA from 1 species